rnacentral:rRNA from 1 species
CGACCGGCGCACGGGUGAGUAACACGUAUGCAACCUGGCCGUCACAGGUGGAUAACCGGAGGAAAUUCCGACUAAUACAGCAUAACACUCCUGAGGGACAUCCUUCGGGAGUCAAAGGAGGCAACUCCGGUGACGGAUGGGCAUGCGGCGCAUUAGGUAGUUGGUAGGGUAACGGCCUACCAAGCCGACGAUGCGUAGGGGUUCUGAGAGGAAGGUCCCCCACAUUGGAACUGAGACACGGUCCAAACUCCUACGGAAGGCAGCAG